rnacentral:lncRNA from 1 species
AUCCUGACAAACACCUAAAACGUGGAUUUACACGCAUAUCCCCCACUCCCCUUCUCCAAUGUUGCAUAUCUGCAUUAUCUAUACUUCUUAUUUGAUGGAAAAUUCCAUUCAAAAAUUGGCUUGGGGGAGCGGGGGAUAUUUAUUUCGAGAAACACGAUUCGAGGCCAAUAUCUGUGGGUUGUCCACAACCAGGAUUGUAGCAAUAUCUUUCAGGAUAAGGCGAACGCACUUUG